CUACGGGCUGCAGCAGUGAGGAAUAUUGCACAAUGGGGGGAACCCUGAUGCAGCAACGCCGCGUGGAGGAUGACGCAUUUCGGUGUGUAAACUCCUUUUAUAUGUCAAGAAAAUGACGGUAGCAUAUGAAUAAGCACCGGCUAACUCCGUGCCAGCAGCCGCGGUAAUACGGAGGGUGCAAGCGUUACUCGGAAUCACUGGGCGUAAAGGACGCGUAGGCGGGUUGGAAAGUCAGGUGUGAAAUCCUACAGCUUAACUGUAGAACUGCACUUGAAACUUCUAAUCUAGAGUAUGGGAGGGGGGGAUGGAAUUAGUGGUGUAGGGGUAAAAUCCGUAGAUAUCACUAGGAAUACCUAAAGCGAAGGCGAUCUCCUGGAACAUUACUGACGCUAAGGCGUGAAAGCGUGGGGAACAAACAGGAUUAGAUACCCGCGUAGUC
rnacentral:rRNA from 1 species